rnacentral:rRNA from 1 species
GAAGACCUGUCCUUAGUACGAGAGGACCGGGAUGGACGUACCUCUGGUGUACCAGUUGUCCUGCCAAGGGCAUGGCUGGGUAGCUAUGUACGGAAUGGAUAAGCGCUGAAAGCAUCUAAGCGCGAAGCCAACUUCAAGAUAAGAUUUCCCACCGAAAGGGUAAGACCCCAGAAAGACUAUCUGGUUGAUAGGUCGAAGGUGUAAGUGCAGCAAUGUAUUUAGCUUAUCGAUACUAAUAGGUCGAGGACUUGACCAAU